AUUGAACGCUGGCGGCAGGCUUAACACAUGCAAGUCGAGCGGGGUGAUGGUGCUUGCACUAUCACUUAGCGGCGGACGGGUGAGUAAUGCUUAGGAAUCUGCCUAUUAGUGGGGGACAACAUCUCGAAAGGGAUGCUAAUACCGCAUACGUCCUACGGGAGAAAGCAGGGGAUCACUUGUGACCUCGCGCUAAUAGAUGAGCCUAAGUCGGAUUAGCUAGUUGGUGGGGUAAAGGCCUACCAAGGCGACGAUCUGUAGCGGGUCUGAGAGGAUGAUCCGCCACACUGGGACUGAGACACGGCCCAGACUCCUACGGGAGGCAGCAGUGGGGAAUAUUGGACAAUGGGGGGAACCCUGAUCCAGCCAUGCCGCGUGUGUGAAGAAGGCCUUAUGGUUGUAAAGCACUCUAAGCGAGGAGGAGGCUCUUUUGGUUAAUACCCAAGAUGAGUGGACGUUACUCGCAGAAUAAGCACCGGCUAACUCUGUGCCAGCAGCCGCGGUAA
rnacentral:rRNA from 1 species